rnacentral:ncRNA from 3 species
UCGAUGUCGGCUCUUCCUAU